UUUUUUUUUUUUUAAACCAAAAAGAUAUUUAUGCUAUUUUGUUUACCGUGAUGGUUGGUUAAAAUUGGGGAUUGUAGAAGGAGAAAUUUUUGCGAUUAUUUUGGUUUUGAAAAGAAUUAGGCAUUGGUUAUGGUUUUGUGCUGGCAUUGCUUGCUGGAAAAUUGGGGAAAGGGAGUGAAAUUUUGAAUUUCGUGGAUUGAAUGACUAUUUCGUUUUAUUGUUACUUUUUCCCCCUUUUCGCAAGAGGGUGGCAUAUAAAGAAUUAAAAACUAAUUAAUGGCUAUUCGGGAUUAGAGACUAGGAAAAGGAACGAACCUUUGUCCCCCAAAUUCAGUAAUAAUUUCAGCACAUUUGAAUAUGAAAGAACUUAGUGCAAAGUGACAGUAACAGGAUGAACUGAAAACUGAGUGAAUCUGAAAAGGUAAACUUUUGAAAAUAAUUUGAAUUUUGCUGAUUGUGAUUGUUUUUACUUGAUAUAAAUUAUAAAGUAAUGUUCUUAGUUCUUACUUCUCAAUUGAGUGAAAUUAAAGAAAUUAGUUUCACCGGUUUAGUGGAUUAAACAUCAGUAAAUUUAUUAGACUAAAGAAUAAUAGAGGUGAAAAGGUGAAAGAGGCGUGGGGGAUGGGGAGAUAGAUUUUAAUUAUAUGCUGAAUGGACGUCAUGGUUAUUUUCCUACCAAAGAACUAAUCUUUUAUGUUAUCUUGCUUUCUGAAUGUAUAAAGGAAAAACUGUCACAAUGUGAGUUAUAUCAGGUUAGGAUACUAAAGUUACAGUAAAGGCUGCUUUUGCAGGAUUCUGUAACUCAUUAAUUGAAUAAAAAGAUAACAAUUAAUCUUGAAAAAUCUGAGACAUUUCAGUUUGUUUUAUUGCCAUGGUAACAGUGGAAUAAGGAAAAAAGAAUGCUGAUUUUGAUGCAGAUUUCCAAACACAAAGGAAAGCCAAUCAAUAUAUUGAAGUCAGUUUAAGUCAACUGUCAGUGGGUCAUUGUCAUAGUAAUUCCAAAGGGAAAAAUAUUGUAUGGUAUUCAAAAAAUUCUGCAAAUCUGAAAAUGGCAAAAAAGAGUAAAAUAUAAUUAAUUUUUCCCUCAUUUGUCUUUUAAUCAAAUAAAUUUGUGGCAUACAUGUUGAACCAUUGAAUUUGAGAGUUACUUGGUUGUUUUCUUGAUAUUGAAUGGAGAUAAAACUUUCAAAGGAGCGGGAUUCAUUGGUGAUGCGCUUGAAGAAACUCAGCCAUGAUUUGGCAAAGGUGAGUUUUCACCAUUCAUGUAUGAAAUUGAGUUGCUUGCUGUAUUUAAAAGUGCAAUUGCUCAAUAAUGGUCUUCUUGUAGUGUCCACUCCUCUGUCUGUGUGCACAUGAAGUGCCUGUUCUGAGACAUUGAACCAAGGUCUUGGUGCAGGUUCCCUAUUCCUGAUAGUGUGCAGCUAAAAUAGUAAAGAAGCUUAUACUUCAUAGUUCCAUUAUAUCUAUUUGGAAGAGGUACUGAUUUAUUUUAAUUUUGACAGUUGGAGACCUUUAAGAGGCAAUUGAUGCAAUCACUAAAUGAUGAUAAUUUAUCAGUAAGACAUUUUAUCAAUUCAUGUUCAUAUUUAGUUUUUAGUUCACGUAUAUACCUGCUGUUCUUCAUCUGACAGUUUUCACAUGAUUAAUGAGGAGUUGAGGACUUCUGUGUCUGUGCCUUUAUUUAUUUUUUUUGCACUUAUUGAGACGUUUGCUAGUUUCUCUUUUCAUCUUUAACAACAGGCUGAAACUGUUGAUAUUGGCACUUGUGAUCAGUCAGUUCCCAAAGCGUAUCCUGACAAAGAUGAGGGGAUGAAUGGCUAUGCAUCCCAAAAUUCUCAUAGCGGCUCUACUGAUACAGGAAACACAGUCGGUGAUGGUAUUGGUUUAGCCUCUUCUUUUUAUAUACCUAUAAUGAUUUCAAGUUUUGUUGAAACAGAUUCCAUAUUUUGGUGUUCUAUUUACAGUUGUAUGUUAUGAAAGCAUUGUUUUAUUGUGUUUAAAAAUAACUAUAUUUUCUUCGUUCGUUUUGUGCUUCUUUGUCAACAUCAUUUUCACAUGUCUGAAACCUAUUUUUGUUUAAGUACAAACCAUAAUUAUUGUAUGGGUACAUGGAAUGCAUCAUAUAUCAACCUUCAGAAGAAAGGUAUUUAUCAAAAUUUUAACCUUGAAAAUAUAGAAACUCAAUCCUUACAUUAGUUUUAUGUCCAUAAAAAAAUUGCAAGUAAUUUCUUUUCUGCUUCUUUGUCCGCCGGUUCCAAUAAUUUUUGACCUUCCAAAUUUUCCUUUCUUUUCCACUUAUAUUUUCAUUCAAUCACUCUUUGAAACUUAGUGAAGUAAUCGAAUUUCUCCUUGUUGACCUGACUUGAUCUUAUAUCUGUUGUUGAAAGAUUACUUUUCCUCCUGAUAAUUGGAUUUGAUUUCAUCCUACAGCAGUGAUUUUUUUUUUUCCAAACCUAUUUGUUUUAAGUGGAGCAUUCAGAAGAAAUUUGUAUAACAAUGCCCAAGUUUUGCAAUCUCGAAGUUAGCAAAACUGCAGUCAACGUUUUGUUUCAGAGUAUAUGUAUCUUCUACAACACAAUUAUUGGUCUUUUAAAUUUUAAUUUUAUUUUAUGGCAUAUGGAUGGUUUUUUGUAAUGAAAUGAGGUUAUUCUUGUGUGAUAAUGUUAUAUAUGAGUACAUUGUAAGCUGGUUGUUUGGUCAAACAGCUUCAAGACAUGGUGGGCAAAGAUUUUCUAUUACUCCAUAUAUCACACCAAGGCUUACUCCAACAGGAACCCCAAAAAUCAUUUCUUCAAGUGUGUCCCCUAGAGGUUUUUCUGCUGCUGGAUCUCCUCAGAGAACCUCUGGCACAACAUCUCCCACAAAACCUUAUAAUGAGGGACGGACUACACUCUCUUCAUGGUACCCAUCAAGCCAGCAGUCAUCAGCAGCAAACUCUCCUCCCCGUGGACGACCAUUGCCAGCACGCACUCCACGAAUUGAUGGAAAGGAGUUCUUUCGCCAGGCCAGGUGAGUGUUCUAAUAUGACUGUAUGGCAUGCAUUCAGUGACUAACAUAUAUCUAGAGGACCUUCCUGUUGACUGUUUUGGCAAUAUUUAUAAUUUAGGGGUCGUCUAUCAUAUGAACAGUUUAGUUCAUUUCUGGCUAACAUCAAGGAGCUGAAUGCUCAAAAGCAGACUCGAGAAGUAAGGAGCUGAAUCUUUAAAUUUCUGUAUAUGUUUCAACCAUUAUGUGUAUUGAUAUAGUGUAUCUAACACUAUUUUUCUGGUGAACUAUCCUUGUUAUCAUUACCUUUCAGGAAACCUUAAGGAAAGCAGAAGAGAUAUUUGGGAUGGAUAACAAAGAUCUUUACUUGUUGUUCCAAGGAUUGCUUAAUCGCAACAUUCAUUAGACCUUAAAUUAUGUCCAGUUAAGAUGUUUUACAGUACUUGGGUGUGCUUACUCGUAUUCUCUGCUCCCUUCUGUUAUCUUAGCAUUUAUGGUGAGAUGUCAUGGUCCUGUCAAUCUGUCCGCACAAAAAUUUACAGGACAACUCUUCCAUCUCAGCUGGGCCUUUGAAUGAUGAUGUGUAAACCAAUUAAACCCCCUGUGAACUUUAAAAUAUUUCAAAAUAAGAUUGGCAACAAGAUCCUAUCUCAGGCUCUGACUUUCUAAUCAGCACAGAUCUAAUGUAGAUAAAGAUAACUUGUUGGCUUGAACACCAUCCUUCCUUGGCUUCACCUUUGCACCAACUGAUUGGAUUGGUGUUUUAAUUUAUUUAAUUAGAAUAUUUUCAUCUUUGGAGCAGAGUUUUGAAAUGAAAUUCAUAUAUUUGUUGAAGGGUUGUGAUGGAUUCUAAUGCAAUUAACAACCAUUACUUGACAGGUUAGGGAUCAAACUUAAGUCCAACAUUCCGCCUAUAACGAGAGGAUACCUUGUGAUAAAUUCUCCAAGAUGUAAUUUAUUGACGGCAUCAACUUGUAUCUUAGUGGUUUAUGUUUAAUCAUCUAGGAUUGCAAGCUUCAUUUCGUACGUACAUGCAGGUGUGUUAUGUAAAUAAACAUCUGUUUUUUAGCAUUACCUGCUCGGAUAUUAAGAAGUACUGGUUGACAUUAUUUUCGCAAGAUUUUGAUAUUUUCAAUUUGGAAAUGAACAGGUUUAUUUUCUUCAAUGAAUUAUCGUCCUCUCUCGUUCUCUCCAUUUAAGUUUUUCUGUUUGCUUCAUAGGUAUAUGUUUCCCGAUUUGUUUAAUAAUUGUUAUUAAGGACUAAUGCAUGUGCGUAUUCUUUCUAAUAAUUCUUCAAAUUAAACAAUUGCAGGAAAACAAAUUAGCAAGCUUUUUAUAUGUUGUUAAUCAAGUAUUUAUCUUACCCUUAAAUAUUAUUAUCCUGUUUUUCUCCUAUUUACCCAGAUAAUGUAGUGAUGCAAAAUCAUGGAUACUUUCAUAGACAAAGUCUUGUGGAUUAGUCAAGUAUUUGAAUAGAUGACAAUCUCAUAAUGAGGGAGGCAUUGCCGACCUGAUUGCAUGAAAGGGAAG
rnacentral:misc_RNA from 1 species